GUAAAGCCCCAUGAUCAGCACGGGAGGGGGCACAGGGAGCUGUGGUGAUCUGGGGACACUGCAGGCUGCUGGGGGCUGCCUUGGACCUUGAAGGAGAGACAGGUUGGAGGCAGUAGCAGUUGUGGAGGCCAGGAUGUCACAGGGCAGGAGUGGGGCUGGAAAGGGCAGAGGGGGGAGGCCCCCAGCCCCUGCCUAGGCUGCUUUUAUUCUGUAAAGAGGUUUUUACUCUAGACCUUCCAUUUUCCUGGAAGUGAAGGUCUGACAUGCAUUGAUCCAGAAGGGCUUUCCCAGGCAGGCAAGUUCCUGAUGGGUGGGGAGUGGAUAGGGAGCAGCAGGUGGCACGGGGUUUCUGUGACCGGGACCUGUGAUCCUCUUGCCUUUGGGCAGCCAGUGGGUCCACAAGCCAUCCAAGGGCAAAGUUUGUGCUUUUAGAAAUUUCUUUCCGAGGAAGCGAUUAGCCAGCCAGACCUGUUGUCCUUUUGCAAGCAGCAAAUUACCCAGGAAAAUGUAAUUACCCAUUUGCUUUGUUAUUAGUGCACAGCUAAGAAGAUUGAAGCAAUCGCCCCUUUCAUGGUAUUUCAAAGCUUACUCACACGAUGCAUCCCUGAUAUUAAACACAAUGAGACUUUUUUGAAUUCAAUUAAGCAUUUGCCUACUGUGACUCUUUAUUCAUUGCAAAUUGUCUCAGUAAAUAAUCUUCAUCAAAAGUCAGAACCAAUCCCCAUUAGUUGUUUAGAUUAAUUAAUGGGUCCCCCUGGAGCCACCCAAAUCAAUUCAAUUUGAACGUCAACAACUUGGCGAUGGAGUUUCCCAGGUUGGCAUUAAGACAAUAUUAAACCUGCAAUAAGUCACAUUUAAAAUGUUAAUUCAGAGAAGCUCUCCAUUUAGAGCAUUUAAUUAAAUCCUUAAAUAAACUGCCUGGGCUCAGUACCAGAUGGUUCUGCGUUUUCAUGGCAGCACAAAACCUUGAAGUCAUUGUGGGAAGUAAUAUCGGAGGCGCGGUGAAGACAACCAGGAUAUAUAGAGUAAUAAAAUCUAAUCUCGUUUCCAGCGGGGAGAUUCAGUGUAUGUACACAACCCGGGCUCAAAUUGUAAGUUAAUUACAUUAACCCCAGUGUACUCCAGGAUCUGAGCAGCCAGAGAUGAAAUUAGUCUUUUUCCUAUCAUAAGAUUCUUUUCAACUUCACUAUAUUAAUUUUUAGCCAAAUACUCACUCAUAAGGAAAAUUGAAGUUAAUGUAACCAAAGAUAAAGUAAGGCAGCCUUAAUAUUCUGAAGGGAUUAUGGAGACCCGUGAAAAUAUACUCUGCAAAUAUCAUCGACGUGGAGUGGAUUUAUGGAGUUGGGCGGGGGAGAAGAAAUGAAGACGCCAAGAAGACCCUCGUCUCUGCCCAUUUUCCCCCCUGCCAGCCUAGGGUUAAUAAAGGACCUAAUCUAGGAAAUGUAGUCCUUGGAGCAAACAGCCUCCCAAGGGUGGUGGAGGGUGCUGGGGGAGGAGACAGAUGGCCUCUGAGAGCAGUUAGGCCUUCAUGUCAGGGGCAGGUGAGGGGCCCAAGUGUCCCCUGGCAGCAGGAUUACCUCUGUCCGCCCCCUGGGUGGCCCAGAAAUCUCCAUGGUUCAGCCUCUUAAUCUCCCUACUCUGAGGAGACAAGUCACACUUCUCGGUCUUUCCCUUGGGAUGUCAAGAGGGACCACUGGCUCCUCUGUCUGCCAACCCGGAGACCCUCAGGUAGCACCCUUAGUUACUGCAGUGGUCCCGUGGUGACUGAAGAUCUAACGCAAAUUUCUUUUAAAACAGCUUCCUCCAAAAGUCUAUCAAUUCUCCAACAACUAAGAAAAACUACACAUCACCCAUUCAGUCUUGGGAGCCUGCAUUCCCAAGGGGCUGUGUCUCCCACUGCAGUCCCAUCACCCUGCCAUCUGGGGAAAGAAAGCAAACCGAAAACCUUAACAGUAAAAGCAUUCAUCGCGUGGCCGGCUGAGGCUUGAGCUUGCUGGAGAAGUGAGGUUUCUAAAGAGCUCUGCCCCACUGACACCUCAAGCUGCCCUGACUGCUCCUCCCUGAGCUGAGAGGUGCCAUCAGCUGUCAGACCUGGCCUCAGGGUAACAGGCAACGAAGGCACAGGUGAGCAGUUGGUAGGGACCACAGAAUAAAACGCUGCAUGA
rnacentral:lncRNA from 1 species